CCCUUAGAUGUUCUGGGCCGCACGCGUGCUACACUGAGUGGAUCAGCGGGUCAGGUUGCGCGAAAGCGUUUCCUAAUCUUUAAAUCCGCUCGUGAUGGGGAUUGACGGUUGCAAUUUUCUGUCAUGAACGAGGAAUACCUUGUAAGCGCGGGUCAUCAUCCCGCGCUGAAUACGUCCCUGCCCUUUGUACACGCCGCCCGUCGCUCCUACCGAUUGAGUGGUCCGGUGAGGCUUUGGGAUCUGAGCGGAAAGAGCGUUUCGCUGUUUCUGCUCGGAAAACUCAGUCGAACCUUAUCAUUUAGAGGAAGGAGAAGUCGUAACA
rnacentral:rRNA from 1 species